UACGUAGGUGGCAAGCGUUGUCCGGAAUUACUGGGUGUAAAGGGAGCGCAGGCGGGAAGCCAAGUCAGCUGUGGAAACUACGGGCUUAACUUGUAGACUGCAGUUGAAACUGGUUUUCUUGAGUGAAGUAGAGGUUGGCGGAAUUCCGAGUGUAGCGGUGAAAUGCGUAGAUAUUCGGAGGAACACCGGUGGCGAAGGCGGCCAACUGGGCUUUAACUGACGCUGAGGCUCGAAAGCGUGGGGAGCAAACAGG
rnacentral:rRNA from 1 species